UACGGAGGGUGCAAGCGUUGCUCGGAUUUACUGGGCGUAAAGCGCGCGCAGGUAGGUGACCAAGUCGGAAGUGAAAUCUCGAGGCUCAACCUCGAGGCUGCUCCCGAAACUGGUCGCCUAGGGACUGGUAGAGGCUGGUAGAAUUCCCGGUGUAGCGGUGGAAUGCGUAGAGAUCGGGAAGAAUACCCGUGGCGAAGGCGGCCAGCUGGGCCAGGUCCGACACUGAGACGCGAAAGCGUGGGUAGCAAACAGG
rnacentral:rRNA from 1 species